AGGAUGAACGCUGGCGGCGUGCUUAACACAUGCAAGUCGAACGAUGAACCUCACUUGUGGGGGGAUUAGUGGCGAACGGGUGAGUAACACGUGAGUAACCUGCCCUUAACUCUGGGAUAAGCCUGGGAAACUGGGUCUAAUACCGGAUAUGACUCCUCAUCGCAUGGUGGGGGGUGAAAGCUUUAUUGUGGUUUUGGAUGGACUCGCGGCCUAUCAGCUUGUUGGUGAGGUAAUGGCUCACCAAGGCGACGACGGGUAGCCGGCCUGAGAGGGUGACCGGCCACGACUGGGACUGAGACACGGCCCAGACUCCUACGGGAGGCAGCAGCGGGGAAUAUUGCACAAUGGGCGCAAGCCUGAUGCAGCGACGCCGCGUGAGGGAUGGACCGGCGUUCGGGUUACGUAAACCUCUUUUUACGAAGUUAGGGAAGAAGCGAAAGUGACGUACCUGCAAGAAGAAGCGACCGGCUAACUACGUGCCGAGCCGAGCCGC
rnacentral:rRNA from 1 species